rnacentral:rRNA from 1 species
UACGGGGGGAGCAAACGUUGUUCGGAAUUACUGGGCGUAAAGCGCACGUAGGCGGCUUGGUAUGUCGGGUGUGAAAUCCCCGGGCUCAACCUGGGAACUGCAUCCGAAACUGCCUUGCUCGAGUAUGGGAGAGGGAAGUGGAAUUUCCGGUGUAGCGGUGAAAUGCGUAGAUAUCGGAAGGAACAUCAGUGGCGAAGGCGACUUCCUGGACCAAUACUGACGCUCAGGUGCGAAAGCGUGGGGAGCAAACAGG